rnacentral:lncRNA from 10 species
CUUGAAACCAACCCACACAGCACAAAAAGAAAGGAGAGAGGUCUGCCCGGGUCGCCCUCAACACACCCUUCUAACUUGGUUCUAGAACAGCAGUGCCCAGUUUGCAAGACAAGAAGCUAAUUGACUCGAAUGUCUGCUGCAUAAGCUAUAAAAUAAGUACAUAAAGAACAAUAUGAACAUACAGCGCCAUCAGUUACAUAAAAAGGCCUGACUGUCCGACGCCACACUGUGCACCGAACAAGCACAGCAAUUGUUUCAGCGGGCUGCACGGAGGAAGAAUGAAUAAUUAGCGUCCUUGUGAAUCAAGUCUCCACCAGGAAGAGAGCUCCAUCCUGCAGCAGUGGCACGGCAGCACCCUCAGCCCGCCAGAGUCAAGCUGGGGUUUUUAAACGUCUUUAUUGACAAUCAGGAUGCAGGCAAACAUAUUCUUCAGCCAAGUAAACCGACAACUAGCUCCACUGUGGUCACUGCUCAUUGGCUGGAACACCCGCUUCUUGUCUAAAGUCUCACCAACUGCUACUUUCCAUUACCAGGAAAUGUCAUUUUCCCUCACUUGUUUAUUUUUGCAUUGGCUAGGAAUACAACAACUUCUGCUAAAGGUGGAGGGGCUGUGACAAAAGCAUCCAUUUGAGCUGUCCUGGCACAACAGGCACAACACAAGAAGUCCCUAAACGUUUCUUUCCAGAGAGUAUGAGUAGAGGGAAGCAAGGAGACAAAAACCACUAUGGAUUCCCCACUAUGGAGGACCCAGAGUUGACAGGGAAAGUGUAAUCCAAGGUACAAAGUCCCACAACUUUAUGUACUUCUCCAAGGAACUAUUUUCUCCUGAAAGGUUUGGUGAGUUCGAAGAUGUGACAGAGACCUACAAGAGCCCAGAAAGUGGUAAUAUUUUUGAGUGUACAAUUUUAAAUAUAAGUAGCAAAAGUGGACAUCUCUGCCUGGCUUCAGAUCUUAACAGGAAGCCACAUUAAUAAAGUGCAUGAAGAAGCAGUCCACCCAAGCUAUUAUCUUUCUUGAAGACUUUACGAAACAGAACUGGCUAAAUAUUUUCUUAUACUGAUGAACCAUGAUCACAUACAAAUAAAAAACGUACUUAGAAA